rnacentral:lncRNA from 1 species
GCUCUGCUAGUAUUUAGUGGGUCCUAGUGCUGUGUAGGGCCCUUUUCUCAGGCAAAAUUCUAACAUCUGACCGCACCCUCCUCUCUUUGCUAUUUAAAAAAAGAAAGAAAGAAAGAAAGAAAGAAAGAAAGAAAGAAAGAAAGAAAGAAAGAAAGAAAGAAAGAAAGAAAGAAAGAAAGAAAGAAAGAAAGAGGGGAAAGAAAGGGAGGGAUAAAGAGGAAAAAAUAGCUGUGCUCCUGCUUCUUUCGUUCUAAGAUAAAUUCUCCCGGAGACAACCUCUCCCACUAAUUGUGUGUUAGCCAUGAAUUUUAUCUCAAGAGCUGACGCACUGCGCUCUCAACUGGUGUUGAAAAGCAGCCUGUUACAGUGUGGGAUUCAUAAAAGGGCCUCUAUGGUGUGUGAGAAAGAAUAUCUGUGUGCCUAGGCAGGAAACUUUUUGAUCUACAGAAAAGCCAGAAGACAUCUAGCAUACCAGAAUAGGAGUCCUGUCUUAACUGAGCAAUAUACACUAUGGAGAGAUCCUUCAAAACCCGUCGGGACGAAUAACAGAUGAAUUCAUAAAACUGUUCAUCUCUGUUAUCCUGAAUGGUCACUCAGACAACAUUUUACUCAACUAUAAAGGCAUUUGAACUGGUCGGACAGGACGACAGAGCAGUGAGCAUGAGAUCAUUGCAGCCGAGUAGCAAACUGGCACCCAGCCUUUUCACCCCUUCGGUUCGGGAGACGAACGUGUGCAGUCCUCGUUUCUCAAGUCAGCCUGGAAGGAUUCCGGGACUCUCCCACCUUCUACCAUUCUGCUGCCAGUCGGUGGCAACGAUUGGUGCAGAUUCUGCGCAGUGCUUUGUGCCUGGAAUAUGGAGAAGGAAGAGAAUGAAGACAAGCCCUCUGGACCUCCUUCUCUGAGAAAUACCGGGAGCCCAGAAGAAACAGAAAAAAAAAAAAUCCAAAACAAAAACAAAAAACCAAACCAAACAAAAACCCUGAGCUUCUCAGUAUUCGCCAGAGUGCUGAAAAAUACUGAUAAUGAUGCGGAAUGCCUGCGUGAAAACAAAAACAAACCAAAAAUGCAAACCGAGACAAACCCAAAAAAGCAAACUUUGGUUUGUCUAACUCCUGAGACAUCGGGCUUCGUUAAGCAGCUUGGAAGGCAACACAAAUCUAUGACCCUUCUUUCUUUUAUUUAUUUAUUUUUGUUAUUAUUUCAAAAAACAAUGGCCUAAGAGCAGUACAUUGCACUUGGUGAACCCGCACUUUCAUACCAGGGGAACACUUAAAGUGCAUAUGAGAAGAGAAGAGAAUGACCACAGGAGAAAAUCAUCUCAGGCCACGAUUUCCUAACCAGAAUCUGUAAGAGAGAUUCCAAGAACUUGGGAGAAGCAUAUUGUGUGAUGUUCUAUAUUUAUGAGACCCAUAGCAAACUGUGAAGAGAUAACAGAAUGCUUUUUGCGUGAGCUGAAACAGUAGAUGAAAUCUUUCAUUAAAAUUACUCAUACUUUGGGUCCUAUUCUUAUUUAUAAAUAAAUAUUAUUGCAAACA